rnacentral:rRNA from 1 species
AAUAUUGCGCAAUGGGGGGAACCCUGACGCAGCAACGCCGCGUGAGUGACGAAGGCCUUCGGGUCGUAAACUCUGUCAUAGGGGAAGAAGGAAGUGACGGUACCCUAUGAGGAAGCCCCGGCUAACUACGUGCCAGCAGCCGCGGUAAUACGUAGGGGGCGAGCGUUGUCCGGAAUCACUGGGCGUAAAGGGUGCGUAGGCGGCCAAUUAAGUCAGAUGUGAAAUACCAGGGCUCAACCCUGGGGGUGCAUUUGAAACUGGAUGGCUUGAGUGCAGGAGAGGAAAGUGGAAUUCCUAGUGUAGCGGUGAAAUGCGUAGAUAUAGGAAGGAACACCAGUGGCGAAGGCGACCACCUGGGCUAAUACUGACACUGAGGUGCGAAAGCGUGGGGAGCAAA